UUGAACGCUGGCGGCAUGCCUUACACAUGCAAGUCGAACGGCAGCACGGGUGCUUGCACCUGGUGGCGAGUGGCGAACGGGUGAGUAAUACAUCGGAACAUGUCCUGUAGUGGGGGAUAGCCCGGCGAAAGCCGGAUUAAUACCGCAUACGAUCUACGGAUGAAAGCGGGGGACCUUCGGGCCUCGCGCUAUAGGGUUGGCCGAUGGCUGAUUAGCUAGUUGGUGGGGUAAAGGCCUACCAAGGCGACGAUCAGUAGCUGGUCUGAGAGGACGACCAGCCACACUGGGACUGAGACACGGCCCAGACUCCUACGGGAGGCAGCAGUGGGGAAUUUUGGACAAUGGGCGAAAGCCUGAUCCAGCAAUGCCGCGUGUGUGAAGAAGGCCUUCGGGUUGUAAAGCACUUUUGUCCGGAAAGAAAUCCUUGGCUCUAAUACAGUCGGGGGAUGACGGUACCGGAAGAAUAAGCACCGGCUAACUACGUGCCAGCAGCCGCGGUAAUACGUAGGGUGCGAGCGUUAAUCGGAAUUACUGGGCGUAAAGCGUGCGCAGGCGGUUUGCUAAGACCGAUGUGAAAUCCCCGGGCUCAACCUGGGAACUGCAUUGGUGACUGGCAGGCUAGAGUAUGGCAGAGGGGGGUAGAAUUCCACGUGUAGCAGUGAAAUGCGUAGAGAUGUGGAGGAAUACCGAUGGCGAAGGCAGCCCCCUGGGCCAAUACUGACGCUCAUGCACGAAAGCGUGGGGGAGCAAACAGGAUUAGAUACCCUGGUAGUCCACGCCCUAAACGAUGUCAACUAGUUGUUGGGGAUUCAUUUCCUUAGUAACGUAGCUAACGCGUGAAGUUGACCGCCUGGGGAGUACGGUCGCAAGAUUAAAACUCAAAGGAAUUGACGGGGACCCGCACAAGCGGUGGAUGAUGUGGAUUAAUUCGAUGCAACGCGAAAAACCUUACCUACCCUUGACAUGGUCGGAAUCCCGCUGAGAGGUGGGAGUGCUCGAAAGAGAACCGGCGCACAGGUGCUGCAUGGCUGUCGUCAGCUCGUGUCGUGAGAUGUUGGGUUAAGUCCCGCAACGAGCGCAACCCUUGUCCUUAGUUGCUACGCAAGAGCACUCUAAGGAGACUGCCGGUGACAAACCGGAGGAAGGUGGGGAUGACGUCAAGUCCUCAUGGCCCUUAUGGGUAGGGCUUCACACGUCAUACAAUGGUCGGAACAGAGGGUUGCCAACCCGCGAGGGGGGGCUAAUCCCAGAAAACCGAUCGUAGUCCGGAUUGCACUCUGCAACUCGAGUGCAUGAAGCUGGAAUCGCUAGUAAUCGCGGAUCAGCAUGCCGCGGUGAAUACGUUCCCGGGUCUUGUACACACCGC
rnacentral:rRNA from 1 species